UCCGGGGAGGAGCGGAGGCCACGCCGUCCCGCCCCUCUUGGGUCUCCGCCUUCAGUGCCUUGCUCCUUUGCCCUGGGACUCCCUUGGAUCUUGUGGCCUCCGUCCCUCUCCUUUAUUGACCUCAGCUGGCUGAAUCGUAGGGUUGAUUCAUCUUGUUUCUGAUAAGUUUGGUCCUGUGAGAAAUGACUACUGGCAGAAAAAUGAAGGAUAAAAGUGGAAAUGAGUACAUAACCACAGGAAAGCUGUUAGAGACAGAUGCCUGCAAAAAGCUGUCAUGUUGACCAUCCAAAUUGUCUUCUAUGCCCAGCUGGAUGGCCUCAGCGAUUUCCACCUCAUCUGCAAUAGCCAUCAGACGACGACGCAUCCUGGCUUGGGUAGAGAAAACAAUGGAGGAAAAAGACGUAAUGAAAUGUGAAGCAAAUCAAAUCUAAGCACCUAAUUUUUGAGACCAGUUACAAAUGACAGCAUGCGAUGGAAGGAGGAAGACAAAGGCUGGGCUGAGAGAGCUCCAAAUGGGUGUAAUGGCAGAGGCACAAGGGUGAGUCCAUGCUUCCUUACCACCUGAGACUGGCUGGAUGUGAAGAGGUGAGAACCACCAAACAACUGUUCCCAGCUAUGCUCACUAAGUGAAAAGUCAUCUUUUCCUCUCACUUCACAGAACGGGAAAAUAAAAGUGAACCAGUGGUCUCAUAAAGGCACAGCCUGAGCUUAUUUUACUAUGAUCAUGCCUCACUUCUCUACCUUACUGUUUCUACUCUCCCAGUUAGCAUUACUCUUGCUCCUUGUCAGUUUUUAUGGAUAUUGCAACGAUAUAUGCAAUUUGUUAUUGUUGUUUUAAACAUAAACUGUCAGAGUAAAAUUCCAUUACACAGCAAAUAUGGAAUGGUUGGGUUUUUUCAACCAGGUAUAAUGAUUUUAUAGGUUCCUAUCCUGUGUAACUCAUUCUCUAAAAUGAGAUUAUAUUUGUAUCAGCUACUAUUCUUACCAACUGGCCUUGAGAUUAAGGACAUUGCUUUAUAAUAAAAGAAAAUCACAACACAAUAAUGUGGUUAUCCAUGCAGUUUGUUAGCCUGGUUUUUACUUGCC